UACAGAGGUCUCAAGCGUUGUUCGGAUUCAUUGGGCGUAAAGGGUGCGUAGGUGGCGGGGUAAGUCAGGUGUGAAAUCUCGGAGCUCAACUCCGAAACUGCACUUGAUACUGCCUUGCUCGAGUACUGGAGAGGAGAUUGGAAUUUACGGUGUAGCAGUGAAAUGCGUAGAUAUCGUAAGGAAGACCAGUGGCGAAGGCGAAUCUCUGGACAGUUACUGACACUGAGGCACGAAAGCCAGGGGAGCAAACGGG
rnacentral:rRNA from 1 species